rnacentral:misc_RNA from 1 species
CUUUUUUGUCUUAAUGUAUAUUAAUUUGUAAAGGAAAGAGGAAUACCCAAUAUAAUGGUCGGAAAACCAUUAUAUUGGGUAAGGAAAGAAAUAUACCCGGGGGUCUCUAAAACCCCUCGCUCGAUUGGGUAACCCGGGGUCUCUAAAACCCCUCGAUUGGGUAAGCAUCCUAAGAUGGUAAGGAAAGAGAAAUACUCAAUAUAUGGGUCUUAAAAAUCCAUNGGGUAUUUCUCUUUUUUUUUUUGCUUUAUUUGAWCCCUANUUUUUUUUCUUCUUCAUUACAGAUUUAUUAUCGUUAUCGUUUCUUGCAUCUCUCGCGAAAUUCCGGGUAGGCGCGAAUUCUCCCAAUUUGUAACCUAUCAUAGAAUCUGUUAUAUAAAUAGGUAAAUGUUCCUUUCCAUUAUGAAUACCGAUUGUAUGGCCAACCMUUGGAGGUAUAAUGGUAGAUGCCCGAGACCAAGUGACUAUAAUUUCUUUCUCCUCCCCCAUUUUGAUUUUUUGAAAUUUUUCCGAUAAAUGCUUAGCUACAAAUAUUUUUUUUUGACGUAUCACAGCUGAUUACUCCUUUUUUUACAUGUUAAAGAUUGGCAUUCUAUGUCCAAUAUCUCGAUCUAAGUAUGGAGGUCAG